AUCUUAUUAAACUGAAUUCAAUUUAAUAGAGGGAUUUUGUAACCAGACAGUCUAUAGAUAAACAAAUGUAACACAUAUAGAGCACAAACAUAUUAGUCACAACAAGGUCAACACAUCCUUAAGUUAACACAAAAAAAUACAUAUAGAGUCAAUAUGAUGAUUUAAAAAAAAAAUAAAAAAAAAUUUAAAUCAUUAAAUAUGUUACCAUUAAAUUAUAACAAUAGUUUGCAAGAUCACCAAAAACAUCUAGGAGGCAUUAGGACAUAUGGACUACAUCAAUUAAAUAGUGUAUCUGUUGGUAUAGGUAUUUAUGUUAUUGAAAGUUAUAUUUCGAAUUCAUUACAAGAAGCUAGAAUGAAAAUAAACUGUAGACCAUAAAUAAUUAUAUACCAUAUAAAGUAACCAGAGGGUACAGAUAGAUAGCACAAGAAUGUUGGCUGAGAUAAAUAAUGAACCCAAACUUUAUUAGCGGUAAAUGAAAAUAAAAAAAGGACUAGUUAAAACAAUUGUGAUAAUGUGUGUUGAUUGUAAUAGUAAUUGAACAUAUUUAGUUUUAAACUAGAUUAGUUUGAUAGACUUGUCAUUAUCUUGUUAUGAUUCCAAAAAGAAACAAAACAAUGAAACCUUUAAGCUUGUGAUUACACAUAUGACUGGACACCAGGAUUCAAAAACUGAAACUGCACACUCAUUCCAAGUUCCAGCAACUUGUAGGGACAAGAGUGGAUCUAAAAACAUUUGAUCUGUAGGAUUUAAAUUUUAAAAAAAAGUUUGAUCUGUAGGAUUGUGGGAAAAAAAGCUCAACUAAAUGAAAAAGAUAAGAAGAAACUUUGAAACAGAUUGAACUCUUUUGUCUGGAUUGAAACUAGAAUAAAAAUGAGCUUUUUGAAUACAAACAUUUUUACUGUGAAAUAAUUGUGUCUGUGUCAACGUGUAAUGUAUUUUUAUUUUUAAUUAUGAGGAAAAAAAGGAAAUAAUUUCAAGAUUACAACUGAAUACGUGAAACAGUGAACAACUCAAAGGAUCAACACAAAUUUGUUUUUCUUCAUUGUAACCUGGAUGAUCCUGGUCUGGGAAAGUAUUACAGCUGUUCCAGUUUCUAUCUCUUCUAUAGCAAUGUACUUCUGGGAAAUACAACUCAGCUAUUAGAACUUGGCACAUUUUGUUUCAGUACUUUAUUUGCUUGAUCAUAUUUGCUAUUUGAAUAUUUCUAACAUGUUAUUAUUUUACCUUUAUUUUUAUUUAUUUUGAUGAAUUCCACAUGUCUUAUAAAUUAAAGAUGUUUCUUCAAAAAAGAGUAGAUAGUUAUGUCCUAAGUGUAUUCAUGUGUUAUAUCUAGAUAUGUGUGAAUCAGAGACUUAAGCUCUGUUAAGUCAUUGGUUUUCCCGGCUGAUUCAGGCAACACCUUCUUCCAUGCUCUAAUGGCACUAGGGAAGAAGGAGCAUGUGUAAGAAUCCAUACUGCAUGCUACUUCCACUAUUGUCUUGCAUUUCAAUUUUUAGAUCCCAUUUAUUUUGAUAAAUAUCUCAUAUAUAACAAAUGCUAUAAUUUUACAUUUUAUUUGUUAGAUCAUAUCUAGUUUGAUCAAUUCCUAGCAUAUUAUUUCUCUCCAUUUCCUGUUAAUAUCAAUUUAGAUUCUACAAUAAAUUCGUCCACUGUACCAGACUACACAGACAAUGUGAGGUAAAGGAAAUAGAAAUCUGCAGAGGAAAAAAAGAGUUGAAGAUAUAUAGAUAUGAAAAGACUUUUGAUAGGUAUUAAAGAUUGCUAUGUCAAGAUUGGAAUACAGCAAUGUCUGACGGAACUGGAGUCAAUGCAAAUACUUUGACUUCCUAAAGAAGAGUUAGUCAACUCUGUUUCUUUCCUUGUGUAUCAAUU